UGCCAGACUCCUACGGGAGGCAGCAGUGGGGAAUAUUGCACAGUGGGGGAAACCCUGAUGCAGCGACGCCGCGUGAGCGAUGAAGUAUUUCGGUAUGUAAAGCUCUAUCAGCAGGGAAGAAAAUGACGGUACCUGACUAAGAAGCCCCGGCUAACUACGUGCCAGCAGCCGCGGUAAUACGUAGGGGGCAAGCGUUAUCCGGAUUUACUGGGUGUAAAGGGAGCGUAGACGGUCCUGCAAGCCAGAUGUGAAAGCCCGGGGCUCAACCCCGGGACUGCAUUUGGAACUGUAAGGCUAGAGUGUCGGAGAGGCAGGCGGAAUUCCUAGUGUAGCGGUGAAAUGCGUAGAUAUUAGGAGGAACACCAGUGGCGAAGGCGGCCUGCUGGACGAUGACUGACGUUGAGGCUCGAAAGCGUGGGGAGCAAACAGGAUUAGAUACCCCUGUAUUA
rnacentral:rRNA from 1 species